UCCGGUUUGUCACCGGCAGUCUAUCUAGAGUGCCCAUCCGAAAUGCUGGCAACUAAAUAUAAGGGUUGCGCUCGUUGCGGGACUUAACCCAACAUCUCACGACACGAGCUGACGACAACCAUGCACCACCUGUCUCCUCUGUCCCGAAGGAAAGAUACAUCUCUGCAUCGAUCAGAGGGAUGUCAAGACCUGGUAAGGUUCUUCGCGUUGCUUCGAAUUAAACCACAUACUCCACUGCUUGUGCGGGUCCCCGUCAAUUCCUUUGAGUUUCAGUCUUGCGACCGUACUCCCCAGGCGGAGUGCUUAAUGUGUUAACUUCGGCACCAAGGGUAUCGAAACCCCUAACACCUAGCACUCAUCGUUUACGGCGUGGACUAC
rnacentral:misc_RNA from 1 species